GUGCCAUACAACUUGUUGCCUGUGCCGAUCUUGCUUCUCCCGGUAAAACGGUUCGGCCCGCCAGAGGACCCCUAACCUCUGUUUCUAUAUGUAACUUCUGAGUAAAACCUUAAACUGAUCAAAACUUUCAACAACUUGAUCUCUUGGUUCUGGCAUCAAUGAAUAACGCAUGGAACUGUUGUAACCAGUGUGAAUUGCAAAAUUCACUGAAUCAUCUAAUCUUUGAACACUGAUUGAGCCCGCCAAUAUUCUGGCCUUUAUGCCUGUUUGCGCCCAUUUCAACCCUCGGGCGCAUGUUGGUGUUAGGACUCUUGUUGAUUCUCGUUCCUCAAAUGGAUUGGGGGUCACCUCCACCUUCCCUAGGGGAACAGUAAAACCCUCGUUACUGGGAAUCGUCUCGGACCCUCCAUUGAACCCCGACUUCUGAAUGUUGACCUCGGAUCAGGCAGGAAUAGCCGCUGAACUUAAGCAUAUUUUUAGGGCGUGACCUCGGAUCAGGUAGGGAUACCCGCUGAACUUAAGCAUAUCAAUAAGCGGGAGGAAA
rnacentral:rRNA from 1 species